UACGAAGGGAGCUAGCGUUGUUCGGAAUUACUGGGCGUAAAGCGCGCGUAGGUGGUUAUGCAAGUCAGAGGUGAAAUCCCACGGCUCAACCGUGGAAUUGCCUUUGAAACUGCGUAGCUAGAGUUCGGAAGAGGAGAGUGGAAUUCCUAAUGUAGAGGUGAAAUUCGUAGAUAUUAGGAGGAACACCAGUGGCGAAGGCGGCUCUCUGGUCCGAUACUGACACUAAGGCGCGAAAGCGUGGGUAGCAAAC
rnacentral:rRNA from 1 species